GCAAGCAGGUACUGAUAACUCGCCGUACUAAUUAGCAAAUUCAGCAUACGGCCAUUUUGCUUUCCCCGCUGUCAAAUAUUCAAAACACCCUGCCUCGACCUGCGGUUCAUAAAAAAAUUAACAGUCAAAGGGAAGUCACAGCCAAUACUGAUUUGACCAGUCCGGCCACAAUCCCACAAAAAAAGAGGAAAAAAAAAACACCGAGGAGUCGGUAAUGGCCAUAUCACCGACAGGAACAGCAGUCGGCGCCGCCGCCACAAGAAGCAGCAGCGGAUCCACGGUAGCCUCCAACAAUAACCCAAUGCAAGCCUGGUGGGAAACCAUAGCCAAAGCUCGCUCUGCAAUUCAAGCCCUAAUUUCCAUUCUGGGCAACAAUGAAUCCUACGAAAGCCUCCUAGACUCGGAAAGCCCAGCCAAGGCUCUCCUCGACAGCCGCGAAGUUGCAGAAGCGAUCGCCACCAGGUUCCUUCGUCACCCAUCUUCUGGUUCUGCCUCUGAUCCGCUCUGCCGAUGGCUCUACGAAACGUUCCAGACCCAGGACGCCGACCUCCACCUGGUGGUCCUCCGCUACGUGCCCCUGGUAGCGGGCCUUUACUUGUCCCGUGUUGUUAACCAGCAUGAGGUUGCUGAGCAGCAGGCGCACCCACUGGCGGGCUUUGAGGCUGUGCUUCUGGCGCUCUACACUGUGGAGGCCAAGGCGAGAGGCGGCCGCCCUGUGCUCAUCCAUGUCCCCGAUCUGGCCCAGCCCAGCCUCUACCACGCUCCCAGAAACCCUGCCCCCGAGGGUUCCCUGAGCCCGAUAAUCGGUCAGCUCUGCGCCCCGCUCGAACCUCAUGGUGCUGUGAAGUCCACCAAAAGGGCUUUUAUUGUCGGGGUCGCGCUCGACCUCUUUAACAGAAAGAUUGCUCUCAUGCCCGCCGAAGCAAAGGUGGAGGCUUGCGAGUUUGUGCAGGGGCUCGCCGGGCAAAACUGCCAGUGCGCCCGUUGCUUUGAAGACGAGUUUACCUCAGAGAAUUUUCCUGACACGAACUCUAACAUUUCCUCAAAUCUUGAGCAUAACCCUAAUACUGGUCCGAGGACGCUGAUCGAGGAGUUGAGGAAAUUCGGUAUCGAGGAGGGCAUCAAUGGUGGGAGUCCAAGCCCUAGCCCUAAAGGUAAUCGUGGGGCUGGGUCUGGAGAUUGUUGUAAUGGUGUCGUUGAUGAAAGCCGUGCCAAGGGCGCUAGGGUUCCUUUAAAUUGGGAGCUACUGCAGCCGAUGCUGAGAAUUCUGGGCCACUGCCUGCUGGGGCCUCUUAAUCCGCAAGAAGUCAAGGACGCGGCCUCGUCCGCAGUUAGGGUGCUUUUCGCAAGAGUUUCACAUGAUUUGGUCCCUGAAGCGAUUUUGGCAACCAGGAGUCUUGUAAGAUUGGAUGUGGCAUCACGAGCGAGUGCGGCAAGAGUUGCUGCUGCGACUGCCGAUGCUUCUGCAAGCAAGAAUAGUACGCCCACCAAGCGCCGGAAGCCUGAGAUGCUGCUGGUAUCUAAUGCGUCUUUGGUGGCAAGGUCCUAGUUGUAUUGAGGAAAAUUAUUUUCUGGUUGCUAUUGAGGAUUUAGCUGGAGAUCAACAUGCCUUACUGUGUUGGAUGACUGCACAGACAUUCAUGGCAUGAAAAUGAGUUGUGUUUUAUUGGCCUAUAUGACGGUUAGUCUCAAUCCUGAGGCCUGGGAAUCAAUAUAUUAACUAGUGAAUGAUUCAAUAAAUACUUUUUCUACGCUUGGAUGUUUGUUCACAAGGUGCAUGUGAGGAAUGUAAUGGUGAUAAAGACAAUGGAAAUUUUACCCGUCCCUUUGAAUUUUUUACGGUCUCUAAAAGGUGAGUCCCAUUCUAGGGGCUACUACACCAGUUUUUACGGAAUGCUCAAUAGCAGGGGUUGCAGGGGAAAGUGGAAUCUUCAGGUAAAAAACAGGAGUUUCCAUUUUAUUAGGAGAUAUUCAGUGGGGCAGGUUGUGGCACCCUCCUGAGUGAUUUACAAAUUUUUAUAUCCAAAGUUCAAGGGCAUUUCAUUCUAAGAUUUUAGAUACUUAUCUCCAACUUAUUAAGGGUAGUUUCUCCUAUAAAUUCUAAAAUUCGACAACUAGGCAGCAAAUUGAAAAAUGCUGAUGGUGCUUUUUUUGGUAGUUGCAAACUGUGAAACCAUAAAAUACAUAUGUUGAAAAAUCUUUAAGUUAUUUUAUUUUACUUAAGAACUAUUUUAUUUUAUUUACAUUGUUUUACUUCAAUAUCAUUCUUAUUGAAAGAGUUAUUUUUAUUUUCUUAAAGAGUAAUUUAUUUUAUUAAGAGAGUUGUUUUAUUUACUUGAGAGUUGUUUUAUUUUAUUUUAUUUAGUUGAAAGUUAUUUUAUAGUUUAAAAAAAGGUUGUCUGUGUUUUAGUUUUAUGUACAUGGUGAUGACAUGACUCUUUGUGUCUUGCUGACUGUGUAGAAUGCCUAUUGGCAUGAUUAUUGGAAGACCCUCUCCAUGGGACUGUUAUUUAAGAAUAAUAGGGCAUAUUAGACUUUUAAAAUAAUAAAUUCGCUGAAGUUGUAUGCACCUGUAACAUUUUUUAUUAUCUUCCUAACGCAUGAAAUAACCAAUCAUCAUUUCAAUGCUAUAAGAAUAAAAAUAAAUAUACAACUAUACAACUUUGCAAAAAGGAUCUGAGUUCCGAAUACCCAGCUAUUCUUGAUCUCGCCAAAUUUGCUUUAGCCUUUUAUAAGAAAAAAAUCUAUGUUUUCUUCUUUGCUGAGGCCAUCUUCUAGUUCAUUACAGAAUCCACUCUAUACAAAUGAUUAGAAUUUCAAAAUUUUUCUUAUUUUUAGCAAAGCUGUUUCAUUUAUUUGUAGUAACCUUAAGAUGCGUGCUUUCUAAUAUUCUCAAUACACUAUUAUUUUUGUCUCUACUAGACAUGGAAUCUUAAAAGUUACAUAUGCUCCAUUCAUGGAUCCCUUGCCUUAUCAAUAAAUGUUACAAAGAAAAUGCAUAUACUCCAACAUGCUCAAAAUAAGUUAACCAAGCAACUUUUGAAGGGUGACACAAUAUAAUGAUGGAAUUUUGUCCUAGUGUUAAUCUCAUACUACUUAUUACUUGUGUCUUUUAUUAGCCAUGCAUCUUCUGCUAUAACAUUGGUUUAGACUUGAAGGAGAUCCCUCACAACAAUCAUCACAUUACUGCCAUUACCCUAUCUGUGGAUUCAUCAAGUUCCCUUCACUCCAGAAUUUUAAAAUAUUGUUUGUUUCGUGAGAUUGCAAUGUAUUAUUAAUUUAUGCUUGUAAGUUUCAAUUGUGGGUCUUAUAUGAUGUUGGCAAGUGAAAUUUUAUAUCUAUUCAGGCUGCACACCAGAAAAUUGAGUUCUGUAUUUGCAAAAUCGGUCCAUUUGAAAACAGUGACCAACUUUUUCUUUCUACAGAGAUUCAAUUUAAUAGCGAGUUAAUGAAUUUUGUAUUGUAUUGUAGCCAAGGUGGAUUGUCAUAAAUCCUAUUUGUCACCCUAUACUUAACCUGCUUCUGUAGACUUGGGACAUUUCGAGAUUUCGCAUUGUAAGAUACAUUGUACUAUUUAUCUUUCCAAUUCAUUGAAUAGGAUAACCAUGAUAGUUAUGGUAAUUUUAUUACGAAAGCAAAUGCUUCAAUGCAGUUCUAGUACCAAAAUUGUUGAUUUGUAAAACCGAAAUAGAGUGUAACAUUUCUUUUGUAUUGAUUUUGAAGCCCAAACCAGAGUGCAAGGUAUGCUUUUGUUGCAAUCCAUGGUCACUGACAAGCAUAUAGUUUUAGGUGGCUUGGUAAUCAAGUGGAGAACACUAACCUUGGAUAAGUACUUAAUAUUGAUAAAGAAAGAUCAUGUUUUGGAAAGGUAAACGGUGGCCAACCUCCAUCAUCAUUGUCUGCAUCUGUCAUCAUUGUCUGCAUCUGUUUGUGAUUGUUGGAUGGUUUUUGAUCAAUGUUGAAUUUUUUUUAGCUGUUUGUAAUAGCUGGAUGGUUGUGCACAAAGUAGCGAACCUUUCUAGAGAUUAUAACUUGUGGACCAUCUAAGGUGAUAAGUAAUCAAAAUUAGUUUUUUCAUAUGAAUAAAACAUGAAUUAAUAUCUUAAACCAGAGGUUAUUGUUGGAGGUCAAACUUUUAAAAUGAAAAGAAAUGGAAAUUUCAACUUUUGCUUGUAAAUUGCAAGCAAGUUUGAAUCUACCAUGCUAUCAAUUUGUGUUUCUUGAAUAAUAAUUUAGAAUCUAGAAGAAAUGUUAAAUAUACAAUGAAAGAAUGACAUGACAUUUUAGAGUGAAAUUAAACUCCAAAGAGGACUUAAAUACUUCCAAGAAUUUGUAAUCAUGUUCAUGAUUUACUUGUCGUUCCAAUAAAGCAUGUUUUACAAAACCAGGGAAAAUACAAAACUAAAUAUAAGAAAUAUCAAGUAUGCCCACUUCUAGAAUGGCAUAAAAAUAAGUUUUUAUCAUAUUUUAAUAUUGAGUAUAGUUCUAGAUACGUUAUGUAAUGGAAUGCAUAUCAAAUGUUUCUUAUCUGCUCAUAUUGUGCUAGAUGAAGUAAAUAUAUAAAGAAUUGUGUGGGUGUGAAAAUAGACAUGAUACUUCAAAUGACGUACUAGAUGAAGUAAAUAUAUAAAGAAUUGUGUGGGUGUGAAAAUAGACAUGAUACUUCAAAUGACGUACUGCACCUCACAAAUUAAACCUACCUAGAGUUUAAAUGUGAUUAAUUAUGGGCUUCAGAAGAAUAUCCAACAAGGCUUAAUGUUUCCUUCUUUCCUUGCAAAGUGCUCUUUCUUGUUUAGGUAGUUAAGUAGUUACAAGAAGUUCAAUUAUGUGUAAUUACUAACUCAAUCUAUAUCUAACUCCAUACAUUUGGAAGUAAUUUGAUGAUUAAACAUGACUAAUUAAAGAUGCAUUUUAAGUAUAGCUCCAUUUGCAUAUACUUGUAUAUAUUUUGUGUUUGCUAAUUUAUUGUAAUAUAUGCUUGGAAGAACAAGUUUUUUAAGGAAAUUGUUUCAUCAAUUUUGUUAUAUUUAUAAACAUGAAUUUAUGUGUUUUUUUCUAUUUUCUAUGUUUUGUCAUACAUUAAUUAUUUUUGUAAUUUUAAAUCUUCUACUCAAACAUUACUAUAAUGUAUAAAUUUAGAUAUGUGUUUCUUUCAAUUGGUAAGUUAUAUUGAUCCCUUUUUUCAAAAUGUGUGAACAAUUUUUUUUUUUCUCUAAUGUUUAUGGAAAAUAUUGUAAAGUUGAAUUUAUCAUUGAUUAUCUUGAAAUCUUAUAAUGGUUAUUUGAUUGGAUUGAAGUGUCGUACUUCAAAUUAUGCAUUCAUGGUGUUAGUAGAGUGGAAAUCCUUUUUGCUAAUGCCAUUUUUGGUGUUGGUAGGACUCGAAACUAUUUUUCAAACCAUGAAUAUUUUUUUUAUUGAGGAAUCAUGCAUUUUUUUAAAGUUUUUUUUUUUAAUAAAAUGCACAGUGUAAUGCCCCUCCCUUGAUCAGACUUUGUUUAAUCUAGUUUGACUCUGGUUGACUUCUCUUGUUGUUUAUGUGGCUAGGUGAUACUCUCUAAUGUUAUGAUUUUUAUUGUGAUUCUAGGAUAUGAUGUUGGUUAUGCAUUUCAUCUCUAUGGAUGUUUAGAUGUUAGAUUAUAUGAUUAAGUUCUAACUUUGGAUUGACAUAUCAACUUUAUGUAUAUGUCUUGUGUUCGUUUUCUUGUAUGGGGCAUGAGGGGAUGAUCUUUCAGCAUGGACUUCAAAGGGACACAGAAUGUUACAACUCACCUCCACUGGUGUGUUUGUAUAUGUAGGAGAAAUAUAUAUGUUUUCUUGGUGAUGUAGUUGCAGGUAUCGAGUAUUGAUAACAUUAAUGAGAUUUUUGUAAACAAGUGGAAAUACUAAAUAAUGAACUGGGAAGAGUAGCUAGAUAACAUUAAUAAAGAUAAAAUUGUUGCCUCUCUUAUGCUUGUGUGCUCGUUUAUGUCCGAGGUAAGUAGACAUCCACCAAUUUUGUCCCUUCAAAAGGUUGGUGUGGUCCACUAGUGUUUGUAUGGGGGCCAGGGGUCAGGAGAGGUCACCAGGGUAACCUAGGAAGGGGGUUGAGACCUAGUGAAAAGUCACCAGCGUAACUCAUGACAACCUAGUGAUGACACUCUUCCCUAUUGCAUACUUAGUGGUAACUUAUGCUAUUUAUCUUUAUGUGGAUUGCUCGGGCCUUUGGAAGUUGGUUGUUUUACUUUUGUGUCUCCUGUGACGCUACUCUUGUGAGCCUCUUGUGCGCACAGUCUUGUUGAUUUUUUUGUGAGUGUAGUCUUGUUGGUGCUCUUGAGAGUCAUGUUGUACUCUAGUGUGUUGCUUCCAUCUCUUGUCUUUGGUAGAUACCUCCUAGCAUGAAGGGUGGACCCAAUUGUACCACAUGGUUGGGCAGAGUGCUAUUCGCAUCCAUUGGGUUUUGGUUCGAUCUACAUCCUAUUCGUGAUGGCUCGUGAGGAGAUUGAAGACCUACUUUAUGUACCAGAUUUUAUACUCAUUUCAUUAUUGUACUCACGAAGAUUGUAUUGUUAUGGAUACCUUGUAAUGUAUACGAUGAUUAUAUGUACUAUUCCAUGGCUAUGUAGUAUGAAUCAUGUACCUUGUGAAGGACAGUGUAAUCUUUAUUAUUAAAGUUCCUUUUGUUCUUUUUG